rnacentral:lncRNA from 1 species
AGCUGUGCAGCUGCCAAACCGGUCUGCUUUGCCCAGCGCCUGUCUCCAGCCCUUCCCUCUUUCCCAUCUUAGCUCUUAUUUACUUUUUUUUUUUUGUUUUCUUCCUUAGGAUUCACCAUGUUUUUAUGUUUUGCUCUCAUAUCCCGUAAUCAAGAGGAAGGCCCCGGUGUGGAUAGAGGGGAUUUGUACUCAGCCUUUGUUUGAUGUUUGCUUGUUCCUAGUGGUGCUGCCUGGAUCAUGCACAGUCAAGGCUGGGGAAAUUUCUCCGUGUCAGCCUGGUGAGGGACAGCCAUGCAGCCUGAGGAGACCAGCUUCCAGGAGGAAAAAUGAUGCUCAAGCUGUCACUUGCUGUAUGCAAAUGUAUCAGUAUCUUGUUUCAGGUACUUCACAGAUACCUUGGACUCUUCUGCUGGGACUGUGA